UUCAUUUAUACAUUGGGAAAGAGCCUUUAAGCAUAAAAUCUCUUUACUAAUUAUUCGCUUAUUAUCUUUCCAUCAAUUAUACCAAUUUUUUCAGCCAACAUCGCCUCUCGUGAUAGUGUGUUAGCUGGGCAUGAAAAUUAUAUUUCUCGUGUGUGAUCGUUUUUAGUCAAGAUUACAAUAGUUCUAAAGCUUUGCUGUGGUGUCGUUGGUACUGCUAUUGUUGUUGCCAUUUUUUGUUAUUGCUGUCCUAAGAAACUUUUGAUUUCUUAAUAUUAAAUUUAGUGAGUGUUUUAUGAAAGGUAAUUCACGUACAUACAACCUCUCAUCUGUAAAGUGUUAAAUUUCGUGUAGAGAAGGAAGAAAUCGUUAGUGCGAGAGUGCAAAACAACCUGCAAGCGUUACGUGUGAGCUGAUUUUUAUUUGUUGCUUUGCUCCACCAGUUAAUUUGAGUGGCUGACUACCCAUACAAUUAUAUUACACCUGAAGUUAGACUAGCAUAGAUCCUCUAACUCAAGAAGUUGGCGUUUUUUCAAAAGAGGACCAUGACUGCUAUGGUGAUGCAUGGACGCGGACCAUUACUAGUGCUAGCUUUCUUGGCCUUCGCAUCGAUUCAAGCUUACAAAACCGCUCUGCCGGUGGAGAUCCAGCCGGACAACCAGGUGGCGGUGAACGUGGGCCAGAGCCGGACGAUCCUGUGCAAAGUGGCCGUGCCGCUGCAGUUCUGCCGGUUCGUCAUACCGGGCGAGCCCAGCCUCGUGCUGUCGCCGAACCAACCCUCGGAGGAUGGCAUCGAUUACUUUGGCGAGGGCAUCGACAGGGGCCACUGCGGUGUCAAGAUAUCAUCGAUCAAGGAGAAGCACGACGGCAACGUGACCUGUUACCUUACGCCCACGAAGGGACGCACCGAAAGCUUCAACUCGGUUCGACUGAUUGUGGCUAGACAGCCGGACAACCCGCAGCUGCGGCUCAACAAGAUCGGACACUUCAAGCCCGGCGAGAAGAUGGAGAUCAGCUGCACAGCCGAGGGCGGCCGCCCACCCGCCAACGUCUCGCUCUUCCUCGACGACGAGCCCAUCGGGUACGACGAGAGGCCGUUCCUGUACGGGCGGAUGGAGGACAGCAACGUGGCUUCGCUCAACACGUCCCGAAGCGUCACGCCGAACGACCACGGCAAGACCCUGUCCUGCGUCGCCAGCCACCUCGCCCUCGCCGAACCGCUGAGGACCCAGCGAACCAUCAACGUCAACUUCGCGCCGGAGCCUCAACAGACGAUCGAGUCGUUCGGCAAGGCGAUCGGCAGGUCCGGCAAGGUGAACGUGACGGUGCACGCCAACCCGAAGCCCAACUUUACCUGGAAGGUGGGUGACGAGGACAUUCCCGCUGGCCAAACCGACUCGACCGGCCGACUGCAGACCUCCUCCGCCAUCGACCUGGGCCGAGGAUACUGGAAUGUCGAAUUGACCAUCGACAGUGUUCAGAAAUCUGAUACCGAGAAGAUGUACGCACUACGAGCCGACAACGGUGAAGGAUACGCCAAUUACAAUAUAAUAUUGUCCUCUUCAUCCGAGCCACCAGCAGGAGUCGACUUGGACGCCGGAUCAAUAAUUGGAAUCGUCAUCGGAGUCUUGCUGCUGAUCCUCGCUGUGUUCCUGGUGGUUUUCGCUCGCGCAACUGGACGCUGGUGUUUUGCCGCGAGGCAUCGGAGCGACGAAGAGGCAGACGGGGGCGCGGGCGCCGACCAGCACGAGGAGCACAUCAUAAGCGAGGAGAAGGUCCCGGCCAGCCAGCACGGCCAGGAGAACCCCAUACACGCCAGCAGCGAGUACGUCAACGGCAAGGACAGCCUCGACAAGAAGACCAACACGCCCGUCUAACAACUCUUCUCCCUCGCCCCUCCAACCCCGCCUCGCUACGCCACAUCUCUCGACCCACCUCACCGAUCACGUUAAUUACGCGGCGACGACGUCCACAAAACAACUGUAACGAUAUUGCGCACGACGAGCGCGUACGACAUCGGGGCUCUUUUCCCUCGAGGAAAGGAGUACUGUUCGCGUGCUCCACCUUUUGUGUACUUCAUUUAAAUUCUUACACCCCCGUUGCGUUGGGAUCGCCGACUUGAUGACCGAUGCGGAGCUCCGGUCGAUCGUGGAGGUUGACCGCACAAGUGCGAUUCGCCAAAGAGCUCUUGGGUUUGAAAUCGGCGAUCGGCAUGUUUGAAUAAAAAUAAUAGUUGCACGUCGACGCGUGUUUUUUUUUUUUUUACCAUUGUAACCGAUGCAGUGGGUGCGAGUGUGUGCGCGUGGCCUCGGGUGUUGGAGGCCUCGUUUACUCGAAAGUCCCGGAUCGACCAGCCAUAACACACUUAUUUCUCAUUGCAAGAACAACAGCCACAUCGAACAAGCGAACGGACUUUCCUCGGGCGAGCGGCGCCGUCCUCUUUUUCUGCGUUUUAAGAUAUAAUUGAUAAGAAGGGAGUGAGAUGGAUGCUGAUUGACGAGCAAAAAUAGUAACGACAAGCGCAUGAAUCCUUUUUUUUCCCAAGUGGGCCUUUUUGCGAUUGGCACUGUAUUUUUUGGUCUGGCAGCUGUUUCCUUUUUAGAUGUUUAGCCAGCCGAUGGCUCCGAAAGGUUCGCGCACUUGUGGUACUUUAAGACGCUUUUUUACAUGUCUCGCUAAAACGAAGUAACAACAGUACAGUUACCCGUUUUUUUGAUGAGCAGUUUUCUUUUUUUUAUUUAUUUUGUGAUUGACGAGCCCUCUGGGUUCGUGGUUUCAUUAAAUACAUGUGAAAGACCGAGUUAGCUGCUGCGUUACUUCGCUUUUCUUUCGUAUAUGUGAGUUUGUAAAUAGUUUAUUAAGAAAGAGUAAGUAUAGCUUAAACUAAAAGAAAAUAAAACAUCAUUGAUGAAAAAACAAAAAAAAUAAAUCAAUCUUGUAAGAUGAAACUCUACUUUAGCGGGAAUUAUUCCGGCACGUGUGUAACUAAGGUCUAGCUCUAUUUGUUCGAUUUUACCAUCGAAAAUUAAAUCUUACUGAAUUGGAGAAAAGAAGUAUUAUUAAUGAAAGACAUAAUUUUUUAAUUGACAAUGAGAAAUCCAAAUGUUUUUUAUCCUGAACCUUAGUUACAGCACACUUAGUUUAAGUUAGAUAGUGCGGCAGUCUUGUAGCGAGAACUAUUCUGACUGGAAAUAAUAUUAUUUUAACAUUCCAAUAACGUUAAGCAAGAGAUAAGAAAAAAUGACUUUUUUGCACGUAAGCACUUUUCAUACAGUAUUAUUUCAUGAAUGAUCAAAUUUUUUAAUUGCCCAACAGUACUGUUUGUUUUUUGUAUUACCAAUUUGGGAUCAAUUAAAUCCACUAAGUUUAUUCUUGCAAAUUCUUAAAUAAAUUAAGUUUGUACCUUAACCGAGGCUGCAUCCGUCCAUUAAGAAAUUUUUUUUUAUACAUGUCAAGUAAAAUGAAUUGAGAAAAUGUUUUAAAUACCUUAUAAAACGUAGUCAAUAACUUUUCAAUUAUCUAUUGUGAUCUGUUUGACUAAAUUUUUUAAUUAUAAAUUCAUCGUAUGUAUUUUUAACUGUGUUAUUUCCAAUUAUAAUUUUUUGGAAAUUAUGUGGCUCUUGAAACGAUUUUCUCACUUCCGGAGGAUGCAGUUUAAUUAGCUUCAGCAAAAAUGAUAAAAAAUUUUAUUUUGAUAUAAUGUUUGGUUUUUGUAAAAAAUCACGCGUGGAGCACUCAGAUCACAUUUAUUUUUUGUAGUUUAGUAUUAUAAUUAGUAUUUUUAUCUUUACGACCAACGAUUCUUUAAAUUGAUAAGUCGUUAGGUUAUUUUUGGGGAUUAUAAAAAGGUAUUUCACGUAAAUUAAUACGUGGCUAAAUUUAAAUGUCAACUAAUGCAUAAUUGACAAAUUUUUAUUUAAGAUCGUAAAAACAUUUAUUUCAUUAUCACACAGUAUUCUGAAUUUCCCUGAAUCGAUUUGUGAAUAGGAUCACAACUUUUUAGCUCCUUAUACUUUUCCAUUCCAUUAAAGUGUUACUAAAUGUUUAUAAACGACUCACAAGCUUUGUCUACUUUUUCGUUAAUGCCUUCGACAAUAAGAGUUUUCAUGCACAUGUACAGGUAAAUUUUACUUAGCGCUAUGUCGUUGGUGUGUUAAGCUAAGAAACAAAAGAGAAGAAACUCGCAUUGUCCAACAAAUUGUACGCCAGCGUAUAAGUAUUAAGCUUGCAAUGUAUUCAACAAAACACAACGUAACUGCCGUAAACGGAGAUUAUUGAAAGCAACAAUUUUAUAAGUAAUUUUUAUUUCCUUGUAACUGUUACUUUUUUGACUAUUAUUAUCGAACUGACAAAUUUUAUAAUGACCACAAAUAAUAAUAAUAAAGACUUUGAAUCAUAAGAAAAAAAAAAAUCACACGAGACUUUUGCAAGUCAUUGAACUUGCUGUACCUUUUUGAAAUUCAUUUACUUACAGCUAUAAGACUUUUUAGCCACAUACAAUGUCUAAAUGACAUAUUUAAAUCAGCUAAAUCUGUUUGUAAUAAGCUAAGCGAAGCUCAAACGAAAAAAUCAAAAUAGCUGACCCUCACGGCUAGCAAAGAUUCCAUUUGUUUCGAAGCAAGGAGGAAAGCGACUAUAUCUGUGGCCCAAAGUCCAAAAGAGAGAGGAGUGAACGCGACCUCUAAGCUAAAAGCAAAUAGUCCGAGUCACGGGAACAGGUGGGAGCUCUGGUUUAGCGAUUUUGUAGCGGAGAUCAAACGUGAAUGCAGAAACUUAAUUGUCGUUGAUUUGCCUCGACUUAUUCGCGCGUGUUAUGUACAUAAAAUUAAAGAGAUAUUGAUAAAGGCAAUAUAUACCUAUAUACAUAUUAUAAAUAUUACUGUAAUAAGAUUGAACGCUAUAUCGAUGAUCCGUUACAAUUUCGAAAAUGAAGAGUCGAGGCACUUGGCUUGCAACAAAAAAUAGUGAAAAAUGAAAGUUUGGAGACUAUCAAUCCUAGAGAAAACAAGAAAUCUUGCAUCCCAAUUGCCAAUGAUCCGUAGUUGUGAUUCAUAAUCAAAAGAAAAAUAAAGUGUUAUUGUCCGGCAGAGCAAUGUUUAACUCGGUGUUUAAGAAAUGCAGAGUCACCGCCUGACGUUGACGAAUCGCUUCAAAACGUUAAUGAGAUUGAACAGCUGAACAGAUGAAUGUGCAACGUACCCGUAUAAUUUUGAGACGUUCCUUAGCUCGUUGGAUUGAAUUAUAAAGCACUUAGAAAAUUGUACAAAAUUACUCUUUCGAUCGCGUUACGUUGAACAAACACGGCGAUUCUUCAAACGUCAGUCGGCGGAUUCGUUGUUUUAUUGAAACUCUAUUCAGGUGGUUCAAACAAGAGGAACAUCGGAGAAUCAGACUUAGCGGAACCGGCGGAGAGCG
rnacentral:misc_RNA from 1 species